UACGUAGGGCGCAAGCGUUGUCCGGAAUUAUUGGGCGUAAAGAGCUCGUAGGCGGUUUGUCGCGUCGGAUGUGAAAGCCCGGGCUUAACCCCGGGUCUGCAUUCGAUACGGGCAGACUGGAGUGUGGUAGGGGAGAUCGAAUUCCUGGUGUAGCGGUGAAAUGCGCAGAUAUCAGGAGGAACACCGGUGGCGAAGGCGGAUCUCUGGGCCAUUACUGACGCUGAGGAGCGAAAGCGUGGGGAGCGAACAGG
rnacentral:rRNA from 1 species